UACGUAGGGUCCAAGCGUUGUCCGGAUUUAUUGGGCGUAAAGCGUGCGCAGGCGGUUCGUCGUGUCCGAUGUGAAAGCCCCGGGCUCAACCUGGGAAUGGCAUUGGAAACUGGCGGGCUUGAGUGUGGCAGAGGGGGGUGGAAUUCCGCGUGUAGCAGUGAAAUGCGUAGAGAUGCGGAGGGACACCGAUGGCGAAGGCAGCCCCCCUGGGCUAACACUGACGCCUCAGGCACGAAAGCGUGGGGAGCAAACAGG
rnacentral:rRNA from 1 species